GUAAAUGCCUGCCAUCCACCUGGACCAGAUCUGGAUGUGGCACUUCACCGCCAACAGCUAAAUGUCAAACCUUUGGCAAAGUGCGCGCGCCGCCCUGCGCCACACAGUGAUGAUGGGUGGACCGAGCGGAGAGGGGCGAUAGGGCACAUUUCUUAAUUUCCCUUCAGCGCCGCUUCCCCCACCAUCCAGACCUGGACACGCGACGAGACCGCGGGACGGCCCUGUUUCCCGUUCACACAGCGAUCCAAUGUAUUAUUCACGAGCGAAACUUCAGCAACUUGUCCACUGGAUAUGGCUCCCGGUUUGAGGAGUGGGCGGACAGGUCACCUCAGAGUGGCGGGAACCGGCGGGGCAGACCCCGAUGGGUGCUCGCCGCAGCGGACGGAUGCAGGAGGAGAGGGGAGGUGUUUGAGGACCAGGUUGCGAGUCGGAGCAGCGGGGAUGCUUGCAAACUGUCUGCUGUCUGUAGCAGUGCUUUUACUUCUUGUCCGGUGCUCUUUGGCCGCAGAGGAAAAAUCCACCUACGAUGCCUCAGGCUCCUCACCUUUACCGAGCGACCCAGCAGUCACAGGCGUUCCUGCUCACCCAUCGGCUGACCUGUCAGUGGCUGAGGAGGUGCCUUUCCCAGUUGUCCAUUCAGACAGUCACUCAGACACUGAUGCGGAGGGCUUAUCGGGGCAGCCUGCUUUUUCUUCUGUCUUAACCAUGAUGGCAGGAACUGUCAAACAUCCAGUGAGCCUUGAUCAAAGUAGAACCUUGCCAACUAUCACCAGGGAUGAGAUCCAUACCACCCAAUGGCCUUCACGUAAUUCCAGCCAGGGCUCAGACAUGUCCUCCUCAUCGUCACAUGUGGGAGCCAGCUCAGGUUUGACUUUUAGCAUGUCUCAAAAACACGCAACACCGCCUCAGACUGCUGGUUACACUGUAUCCAGGCUGUCACGUGUAUCCUUCACAAACGGAAACAACAUUGUAUCAUUGUUUCCAUCAUCAACAGAGUUGACACCAAUAAUGUCUUCUCCAUCUCCAUCCACACUGUCUGUGCUUUCAUCCUCCGUGCCCUCAUUUUUCCUGUCACCUUCCACUGAGUGGAUAGACAAAGCCCUUCAGACAGAAACAGCAGCGUUAUCAGCAAGGUCUCAGGGUUGGUCAGACAGUUUAACAUUCCCGCAGUCCACCACUCAGUCACUUGCUGACCUGCAAUCUGUAAGACAG
ensembl:lncRNA